rnacentral:rRNA from 1 species
GACGAACGCUGGCGGCGUGCUUAACACAUGCAAGUCGAACGGCAAGGCCCUGCUUUUGUGGGGUGCUCGAGUGGCGAACGGGAGAGUAACACGUGAGUAAACUGCCCUUGACAAUGGGAUAACAUCAGGAAACUGGGGCGAAUACCGGAUAGGAGCUCCUGCUGCAUGGGGGGGGUUGGGAAGUUUCGGCGGUUGGGGAUGGACUCGCGGCUUAUCAGCUUGGUGGUGGGGUAGUGGCUUACCAAGGCUUUGACGGGUAGCCGGCCUGGGAUGGUGACCGGCCAAACUGGGCCUGAGCUACGGCCCAGACCCCUACGGGAGGCAGCAGUGCGGAAUAGUGCACAAUGGGCGGAGGCCUGAUGCAGCACCGCCGCGUGCGGUAUGUCGUGCUGCGGGUUGUGAACCGCUUUCGCCUGUGACGAGGCGUGAGUGACGGCAAUGAGUAAAGAAGCACCGGCUAACUACGUG